GGAAAGGCGCGCGAUACAGGGUGACAGCCCCGUACACAAAAAUGCACAUGCUGUGAGCUCGAUGAGUAGGGCGGGACACGUGGUAUCCUGUCUGAAUAUGGGGGGACCAUCCUCCAAGGCUAAAUACUCCUGACUGACCGAUAGUGAACCAGUACCGUGAGGGAAAGGCGAAAAGAACCCCGGCGAGGGGAGUGAAAAAGAACCUGAAACCGUGUACGUACAAGCAGUGGGAGCACGCUUAGGCGUGUGACUGCGUACCUUUUGUAUAAUGGGUCAGCGACUUAUAUUCUGUAGCAAGGUUAACCGAAUAGGGGAGCCGAAGGGAAACCGAGUCUUAACUGGGCGUUAAGUUGCAGGGUAUAGACCCGAAACCCGGUGAUCUAGCCAUGGGCAGGUUGAAGGUUGGGUAACACUAACUGGAGGACCGAACCGACUAAUGUUGAAAAAUUAGCGGAUGACUUGUGGCUGGGGGUGAAAGGCCAAUCAAACCGGGAGAUAGCUGGUUCUCCCCGAAAGCUAUUUAGGUAGCGCCUCGUGAAUUCAUCUCCGGGGGUAGAGCACUGUUUCGGCAAGGGGGUCAUCCCGACUUACCAACCCGAUGCAAACUGCGAAUACCGGAGAAUGUUAUCACGGGAGACACACGGCGGGUGCUAACGUCCGUCGUGAAGAGGGAAACAACCCAGACCGCCAGCUAAGGUCCCAAAGUCAUGGUUAAGUGGGAAACGAUGUGGGAAGGCCCAGACAGCCAGGAUGUUGGCUUAGAAGCAGCCAUCAUUUAAAGAAAGC
rnacentral:rRNA from 1 species